rnacentral:rRNA from 1 species
GACGAACGCUGGCGGCGUGCUUAACACAUGCGAGUCGAACGGCAAGGCCCUGCUUUUGUGGUGUGCUCGAGUGGCGAACGGGUGAGUAACACGUGAGUACCCUUCCCUUGACUUUGGGAUAACUUCAGGAAACUGGGGCUAAUCCCGGAUAGGAGCUCCUGCUGCAUGGUGGGGGUUGGAAAGUUUCGGCGGUUGGGGAUGGACUCGCGGCUUAUCCGCUUGUUGGUGGGGUAGUGGCUUACCAAGGCUUUGCCGGGUAGCCGGCCUGAGAGGGUGACCGGCGACAUUGGGACUGAGAUACGGCCCAGACGCCUACGGGAGGCAGCAGUGGGGAAUAUUGCACAAUGGGCGGAAGCCUGAUGCAGCAACGCCGCGGGCGGGAUGACGGCCUUCGGGUUGUAAACCGCUUUCGCCUGUGACGAAGCGUGAGUGACGGUAAUGGGUAAAGAAGCACCGGCUAACUACGUG